GUGCUUGUUUCAGCGCACAUAUACUAAAAUUGGAACAAUACAGAAAAGGUAAGCAUGGCCCCUGUGCAAGGAUGACAUGCAAAUUUGUGGAAAAAAAUAAUUAUUU
ensembl:snRNA U6 U6 spliceosomal RNA